rnacentral:rRNA from 1 species
GCCUUACACAUGCAAAGUCGAACGGCAGCCAUGGAAGAGCUUGCUCUUCUGAUGGCGAGUGGCGAACGGGUGAGUAAAGCAUCGGAACGUACCGUGUAGUGGGGGAUAACGUAGCGAAAGUUACGCUAAUACCGCAUACGCACUGAGGUGGAAAGCAGGGGAUCGCAAGACCUUGCGCUAUACGAGCGGCCGAUGUCAGAUUAGCUAGUUGGUAGGGUAAAGGCCUACCAAGGCGACGAUCUGUAGCGGGUCUGAGAGGAUGAUCCGCCACACUGGGACUGAGACACGGCCCAGACUCCUACGGGAGGCAGCAGUGGGAAUUUUGGACAAUGGGCGAAAGCCUGAUCCAGCCAUGCCGCGUGAGUGAAGAAGGCCUUCGGGUUGUAAAGCUCUUUCAGCCGGGAAGAAAUCGCAUGGGCUAAUACCCUGUGUGGAUGACGGUACCGGAAUAAGAAGCACCGGCUAACUACGUG